rnacentral:rRNA from 1 species
UACGUAGGGGGCUAGCGUUGUCCGGAAUCAUUGGGCGUAAAGAGCGCGUAGGCGGCCAGAUAAGUCCGGUGUGAAAGUCACAGGCUCAACCUGUGAAUGCCGCUGGAAACUGUCUGGCUAGAGUCCGGAAGGGGCGAGUGGAAUUCCUGGUGUAGCAGUGAAAUGCGUAGAUAUCAAGAGGAACACCAGUGGCGAAGGCGAGUCCCUGGACAACACCUGACACUGAGGCACGAAAGCUAGGGGAGCAAACAGG